AUUUGACGAGCAGUAAGUGUUUGCGAAUGGAUUUGUCAGUAAAGUUGGACGAAAGUCUUGUAUGUAUGGCUGUGUUUUCUGGAGUCGUCGGUCUGUCUUGCACUGUAGUUCUAUAAAUUCUAUGCACAAGACCCUUGCAGAGACUCACUCCUCACAAGAUCUCGCUUCUUCUUGUUCGUGUUCCCUCGACGGUGUUUUGCCUCUUCUCCAUCCUUUUCUCUCUCUCUCUCUCUCUCUCUCUCUCUCUCUCUCUCUAUUACUGCUUUAGCUUGUGUCUUGGUUUUUCUGAUACCUUGUUGUUGCAGGGUUGGCGAGGUUGGGUUGGGUGAGAAGACAUGGCGAGGGUAAGAUGGUUUUGCUCAAGACCGCGCAACACUUCCAUAUGACAUCGCAUCGCUGUGCUCAUCUAUCCAUCAGCAGAUACCGAUGGAGAAGGCAUGGAAGGAGCGGGCGAUAGGUUUGGACAGCGAUGCGUUGGUUUAUGGCCAGGCUGCGCGGUCCUGCGCAAGAUCCGCCCAUCACUCGAUCCAUCUUAUUCCUUCUUGUUGAUCGAUCUUCGAUCUUUAGCUCGCACUCCUGAAGGCUUUUUGCUUCACAGGUUCCCGCUGACCUCGGUGAAGGAAAGAAUAGAAGGAACCAAGGGAAGUUGCAAGUCUUCGUCUGCAGCAGCAAGCAUCAAGAAUCACAAAGGGAAGCAUAUCUCACAUCAAGAGAUCGUGACAUGAGCCGAGCUGGAACAGUAUGCGAUAGAGUAGACUGGCACACCAAAUGCCAGAGGGUCGACGAAGCACUGAUCUCAAGUUCCGCAGUGAUGGUGCAAGCUGAUACGACCAGGAUGCGCAUUCCUCCAUGGAUCUGACUGCAAAGAUUCCGGCAGUGUGCAGUGUCCGAUCCUUGUGCAGAUUCAUCUGCUGUCGCUUUGCUUAUUGUCCUCUUCGCUUC